UUGUAUACAAGUAAUAAACCACAAGACUCUCGAAGUAACAACGCAUGAAAAUCCAGCGACCGACUACACUGCUGCGGUUGAAUAUCACGUUAAUUUCCAAUAAAAAGCACAGGACAAUGUAGUAAAAGCUGCAUGAAAGUCCCGUGAAAUCCAUCAGUGACCCAUGCAAACUUGCUUUCUAUGUGUGUGUCAGCUGGUUUUUGGUAUGCAUGAAUUUCAUGUCACAACCGCAUGGGAAUAGGUUUGGAAAAAACCACAUACCUUUUCAUGCAGCACUGUGGUGAACAGUUUUUUGAGUGUAGGAUGGUCGGGAAGCUGCAUGAAUUUCCUGUCUGAAAAUUUCGAGCUGAGCGUGCAGGUCUGGAGACGGUCAGUUUGCUGCUGAUUCCCAUCAACUUCACUUGGUUUCAGCUUUCUUUCUGUGUGUGCCGGAAAACCACAAACAUGAAAAAACAGUGACUCUGUUCGUUCUUCAAAUCUGCUUGGACUGUUUUUUCGAAGUGAAAUUUAGCCACUGCUCCUGAAUUUUCUACGCACAACCGUCAUGGCAAAGUUUGUCCUGAAGCCGUACGCGGACAAGGCCCAGCAGAAACACCCCAUCAAGGUCACCAGGGAGCCAAGGAAGCUAGAGAGAUGAAGGCGUCUGCCGCGUACGGGAGGAAGUUUGGGCUGCCCUGAUAACAGCCCCGCGAGCAGAAAGUGAUAAGCCGGAAACAUGAACGUUACGUGCGUGUGUGUUUGUGGUGGGAUGUCCGUACGAUAAAUCGGUAAAACAUAAACAUGAAAAUACGAGUGUUUUGUGAUUUAUAAUGUUGAGAUGUGAUAAGGUUGUGUUUGAGCGAAUAAGCAGAGCGAUUUUGAAAAUAAAAAGUUAAAAGAGCAA